rnacentral:rRNA from 1 species
AAACCACCGGGGUUGCCCCCAGUACGGCGAGUGAGCGGCAAAAGCUCAAAUUUGAAAUCUGAGGCUCUCAGCCCCCGAGUUGUAAUUUGAAGAUAGUGCUCUGGCGCCGGCCCCCUGUCUACGUUCCUUGGAACAGGACAUCGCAGAGGGUGAGAAUCCCGUCUGGCGGGGCGGCCUGGCUCCGUGUAGAGCUCUAUCGACGAGUCGAGUUGUUUGGGAAUGCAGCUCUAAGUGGGUGGUAAAUUCCAUCUAAAGCUAAAUAUUGGCGAGAGACCGAUAGCGAACAAGUACAGUGAUGGAAAGAUGAAAAGAACUUUUUAAAGAGAGUGAAAAAGUACGUGAAAUUGUUGAAAGGGAAGGGUAUUGGAUCAGACUUGGUGCUGUGCGAAUAGCGGCCCUUCUUGGGCUGCCCACUCGCGCUCCACCGGGCCAGCAUCGGUUUGGGCGGCAAGACAAUGGCGGCGGAACGUGGCACUGCUCCCGGGCAGUGUGUUUAUAGCCCCCGCUGAUGUUGCCUGCCUAGACCGAGGACUGCGGCUUCUGCCUAGGAUGCUGGCGUAAUGAUCCAACACCGC